GAUGAACGCUGGCGGCGUGCCUAAUACAUGCAAGUCGAGCGAACAGACGAGGAGCUUGCUCCUCUGACGUUAGCGGCGGACGGGUGAGUAACACGUGGAUAACCUACCUAUAAGACUGGGAUAACUUCGGGAAACCGGAGCUAAUACCGGAUAAUAUAUUGAACCGCAUGGUUCAAUAGUGAAAAACGGUUUUGCUGUCACUUAUAGAUGGAUCCGCGCCGCAUUAGCUAGUUGGUAAGGUAACGGCUUACCAAGGCGACGAUGCGUAGCCGACCUGAGAGGGUGAUCGGCCACACUGGAACUGAGACACGGUCCAGACUCCUACGGGAGGCAGCAGUAGGGAAUCUUCCGCAAAGGGCGAAAGCCUGACGGAGCAACGCCGCGUGAGUGAUGAAGGUCUUCGGAUCGUAAAACUCUGUUAUUAGGGAAGAACAAAUGUGUAAGUAACUAUGCACGUCUUGACGGUACCUAAUCAGAAAGCCACGGCUAACUACGUG
rnacentral:rRNA from 1 species